ACGUAGGGGGCAAGCGUUAUCCGGAAUUAUUGGGCGUAAAGAGUGCGUAGGUGGUUUUUUAAGCGUGAGGUGAAAGGCAAUAGCUUAACUAUUGUAAGCCUUGCGAACUGGAAGACUUGAGUGCAGGAGAGGAAAGUGGAAUUCCUAGUGUAGGGGGGAAAUGCGUAGAGAGGAGGAGGAAGACCGGUGGCGAAGGCGACUUUGUGGACUGUAACUGACACUGAGGCACGAAAGCGUGGGGAGCAAACAG
rnacentral:rRNA from 1 species